rnacentral:rRNA from 1 species
UACAGAGGUCUCAAGCGUUGUUCGGAUUCAUUGGGCGUAAAGGGUGCGUAGGUGGCGCUGUAAGUCGGGUGUGAAAUUUCGGAGCUUAACUCCGAAACUGCAUUCGAUACUGCGGUGCUUGAGGACUGGAGAGGAGACUGGAAUUCAUGGUGUAGCGGUGAAAUGCGCAGAUAUCAGGAGGAACACCGGUGGCGAAGGCGGGUCUCUGGGCCGAUAUUGACGCUGAGGAGCGAAAGCGUGGGGGAGCGAACAGG